AUGCAGUCGAGGGGUAUAGUUCUUCGGAGCUAGAGACCGGCGCACGGGUGCGUAACGCGUAUGCAAUCUACCUUUCACAGAGGGAUAGCCCUGAGAAAUUUGGAUUAAUACCUCAUAGUAUUAUGAAAUGGCAUCAUUUUAUAAUUAAAGUCACAACGGUGAAAGAUGAGCAUGCGUCCCAUUAGCUAGUUGGUAAGGUAACGGCUUACCAAGGCUACGAUGGGUAGGGGUCCUGAGAGGGAGAUCCCCCACACUGGUACUGAAACACGGACCAGACUCCUACGGGAGGCAGCAGUGAGGAAUAUUGGUCAAUGGGCGCAAGCCUGAACCAGCCAUGCCGCGUGCAGGAUGACGGUCCUAUGGAUUGUAAACUGCUUUUGCACAGGAAGAAACAACAUUACGUGUAAUGUCUUGACGGUACUGUGAGAAUAAGGAUCGGCUAACUCCGUGCCAGCAGCCGCGGUAAUACGGAGGAUCCAAGCGUUAUCCGGAAUCAUUGGGUUUAAAGGGUCCGUAGGCGGUUUAGUAAGUCAGUGGUGAAAGCCCAUCGCUCAACGGUGGAACGGCCAUUGAUACUGCUAGACUUGAAUUAUUAGGAAGUAACUAGAAUAUGUAGUGUAGCGGU
rnacentral:rRNA from 1 species